UCUCUCCUGUCUGUCAAAAAGAUGCUAUUCCUGUGAUUAAAACCAUUACAGUCCUUCAAAGGUUAUACAUGACUUUCAGGCGUCAGCCUCAGUAGCAGCAGGGCAGGAGUUGUACAAUCAGUGCUAGGAAGACAAUCUGGUGGAAAACAGAAAGAAUGAUGGGUGGUAACUCCUCCAGCAAGGAAGGCUGAGUAACAUGGGGAAAUACUGCAUUUCUCAAGAUCCCUCUGCCAUGAUGCGUUAUUGCCAAAGAGACAGUGAGGCUGCCGUUCCAGUUUCUUCCCUAGAUACUUAUGUUACCUGAAGAAUUAAACUUUUUGAUGUUCAGUUUCCUCAUUGGGGGAUCAUAAAACCUACAUGAGAAAAGACAAUGAAGAGCAAAAUUCUUGGGAAUGUAGUUGGGUGAAAGAGAGAGAGCUUUGAAGUUCCAGCUUUUCAGCAAGGAGCAAACCCAGCAGAACCUCGUCAGACAUUUAUUGCACGCUGGGCGUUUACUGCAUGCUUGGUACUUGAGAUACCUUCUCUUAUUUAAUACUGACAACAAACUUAUGAAAAGUAUAACAUAGCUGUUUUCAAAAAUAGAAUUAGCUCAGAGAGGUUAAUAAAACAGAGUCACACAGCCAGCAAUUAGCAGGGCUGGAUUCUGAAUUCAGUUCUCUGACUUCAAAAUUCAAGCUCUUUCCAUUCUCCUACCCAACUGCAACAUGUUUCUCUAGCUGGUGAAACAAGUAUAAUGCCUGCAGUUUAUAGCAUAUAUUGAGUACUACAGCAUAUAUUGAGUAUUAGUAGGCAUUCUUGAACACACUGUAGACAUAGUUCAGUUCCACAAAGUUGCCAAAAUGUUUUCAACUGUUAUUAUUUGAAGAUUGACUCUAGACUCGAGAAGGAAACAAUAUCUCAGUCAGUCCUACCCUCGAUUCUCUCCAAGAGAACCAACCAAUUUUGAUCAGUGUCGAGAGCAAUGAUCACCAGCACAUAUGUGUACACACAAGCACAUGGGAGGAAACUUUCAGCUUUCUAUUUACUGUUAAUUAAACAUAAGGAAAAAAAUGAGUUUUAAUAAUGGUUAAUAGUUGGAUUGGUAUUGGAGACCUUAUAAGACCCCCGGAUAACAAUCAGCUACAUCAUUUGUAGGGUCCACUGCAAAAAUGAAAAUGUGA